AUGGAGUUCCUGCAGGGGCAGAGCACGGAGACCACGGUGGCCGUCGCGGUCGCCGUCGUCGCCGUGGCCGCCGGCGCCGGAUUCCUCCUCCUCCGCAGCAAGAAACCCAAGGGCUGCUUGGAUGCUGAGAACUUCAAAGAGUUUAAACUUGUGCAGAAGAGACAGAUCAGUCAUAACGUGGCCAAGUUCAAAUUUGCUCUCCCGACACCUACUUCAGUUUUGGGCCUUCCAAUUGGCCAACAUAUAAGCUGCAGAGGGCAGGAUGCUACUGGUGAGGAAGUAAUCAAGCCUUAUACUCCUACUACACUGGAUUCUGAUAUUGGAUACUUUGAGCUUGUUAUAAAGAUGUAUCCCCAAGGAAGAAUGUCUCAUCAUUUUCGUGAGAUGAAGGUUGGCGACUACAUGUCUGUGAAGGGGCCAAAGGGCCGUUUCAAGUACCAGCCUGGGCAAGUGAGAGCAUUUGGAAUGAUAGCUGGAGGAUCAGGCAUUACGCCAAUGUUCCAAGUCACAAGGGCAAUUCUUGAGAACCCAAACGACAAUACAAAAGUUCACUUGAUCUACGCUAAUGUCACAUAUGACGACAUUCUUCUGCUGGAAGAACUGGACAAUAUGGCUAAAAACUAUCCUGAUCGCUUCAAGAUCUACUAUGUCUUGAAUCAGCCACCUGAAGUCUGGGAUGGUGGUGUUGGGUUUGUAUCAAAGGAAAUGAUCCAAGCUCACUGCCCAGCGCCUGCUGCGGACAUUCAGGUAUUGAGAUGCGGACCUCCUCCGAUGAACAAAGCCAUGUCUGCAAACCUAGAUGACCUUGGGUACACCAAGGAGAUGCAGUUCCAGUUCUAG
rnacentral:rRNA from 1 species